rnacentral:lncRNA from 10 species
CGCGCCACCCCAUGCAGGCUGGGGACAAGGGGGUGCAGAAGCAGAAGUUGCUGCAAACUCUGAGCUCUUGUACCCCAAGAGAAAGAAGAAAAUGUCCAUUUCCAACUCAGCUAUCCAACAUCGGCUGACUCCAUGCUUUGUACAUCUGCCAAAUUAAUCUUCCUAAAUAGAACCUGCAUUGUGUCAGUCUGUAUUGGAACACUCCCAAGUCACUGCAAUGUCCAUAAUAAAACAAAAUUCAAGAUCUGCCGCAACUCAGAUUGGAGUGCAGUGGUGUGAUCAUAGCUCAGUACAGCUUCGAACUCCUUGGCUCAACUGACCCUUCCACCUCACCCUUCCUAGCAGCUUGGACUACAGGUGAAAUCUGAUUAAAACAAGCACUGCUUGCUUCACACAGAAGUGGAAUCACAAAAGGAAAACAGGUAACCUGAAGCCUGUGUGUAGGAGAAAGGAACACAGCUUCCUUAUUUAGUUAUUUCAUUUGAGAAUUGUAUGUGGUAUGUAUAUGAAGAGUUUGGGAAGGGGGAUAAAUUGUAGGUGUGUAAGUGCAUCUCUGA